rnacentral:rRNA from 1 species
AACGAACGCUGGCGGCAUGCCUAACACAUGCAAGUCGAACGAGACCAUCGGGACUAGUGGCGCACGGGUGCGGAACGCGUGGGAAUCUGCCCUUCGGUUGGGAAUAAUAGAGAGAAAUUUCGGCUAAUACCUUAUAAUGUCUUCUAACCAAAGAUUUAUCGCCGAGGGGUGAGCAGGCGUAGGUUUAGGUUGUUGGUGGGGUAAUGGCCUACCAAGCCGACGAUCCUUAGCUGGUCUGAGAGGAUGAUCAGCCACACUGGGACUGAGACACGGCCCAGACUCUUACGGGAGGCAGCAGUGGGGGAUAUUGGCCAACCGGCGAAGGCCUGAUCCACCAAUGCCGCGUGAGUGAUGAAGGCGUUAGGGUUGUAAAGCUCGUUUACCCGGGAUGAUAAUGACAGUACCGGGAGAAUAAGCACCGGCUAACUCCGUG